GACGAACGCUGGCGGCGUGCUUAACACAUGCAAGUCGAACGGAAAGGCCCUGCUUUUGUGGGGUGCUCGAGUGGCGAACGGGUGAGUAACACGUGAGUAACCUGCCCUUGACUUUGGGAUAACUUCAGGAAACUGGGGCUAAUACCGGAUAGGAGCUCCUGCUGCAUGGUGGGGGUUGGAAAGUUUCGGCGGUUGGGGAUGGACUCGCGGCUUAUCAGCUUGUUGGUGGGGGAGUGGCUUACCAAGGCAUUGACGGGUAGCCGGCCUGAGAGGGUGACCGGCCACAUUGGGACUGAGAUACGGCCCAGACUCCUACGGGAGGCAGCAGUGGGGAAUAUUGCCCAAUGGGCGGAAGCCUGAUGCAGCAACGCCGCGUGCGGGAUGACGGCCUUCGGGUUGUAAACCGCUUUCGCCUGUGACGAAGCGUGAGUGACGGUAAUGGGUAAAGAAGCACCGGCUAACUACGUG
rnacentral:rRNA from 1 species